rnacentral:rRNA from 1 species
GACGAACGCGGCGGCGUGCUUAACACAUGCAAGUCGAACGAAGAGCGAUGGAAGCUUGCUUCUAUCCAUCUUAGUGGCGAACGGGUGAGUAACGCGUAAUCAACCUGCCCUUCAGAGGGGGACAACAGUUGGAAACGACUGCUAAUACCGCAUACGAUCUAAUCUCGGCAUUGAGGAUGGAUGAAAGGUGGCCUCUAUUUAUAAGCUAUCACUGAAGGAGGGGAUUGCGUCUGAUUAGCUAGUUGGAGGGGUAACGGCCCACCAAGGCGAUGAUCAGUAGCCGGUCUGAGAGGAUGAACGGCCACAUUGGGACUGAGACACGGCCCAGACUCCUACGGGAGGCAGCAGUGGGGAAUCUUCCGCAAUGGACGAAAGUCUGACGGAGCAACGCCGCGUGAGUGAUGACGGCCUUCGGGUUGUAAAAGCUCUGUUAAUCGGGACGAAAAGCCCUCUGCGAAU